CAGUGAGAUGCCUUUCCCUGCCAGCCCAAGAAACAUUCGAGGUGGACUUACAGAUCUGUUUUUUUGGGAGAUACCUGGUUUACAUCAUGUGCUUUUUAUGGAAAAAGGGAUUUUUUUAUAAAACAACCAACCACCCUUUAAAGAUUUCCUUCCAAGCUGUGUUAUCCUUGGCUUCCAUGGGAUAUCCCUCAUGCUACUUCCCAGCAAUGGAAUGACAUGAAGACUGUUUUUGAGGGAGGCAAAUUUACACAUGGAUUGUCCCGGAACCCAAUAUCUCACCUCUCUGCACAGCAGAGGAAAAAAAUCACACAAAAGAUCCCCAAAAAAAGCCCUACCAAACAGUGAGAAAGAUGGAAACUGGUCCCAGACUGCAG